rnacentral:rRNA from 1 species
GACGAACGCUGGCGGCGUGCUUAACACAUGCAAGUCGAACGGUGAAACCUAACUUGCUAGGUCGAUUAGUGGCGAACGGGUGAGUAACACGUGACUAACCUGCCCCUUUCUCUGGGAUAACGCUCCGAAAGGAGUGCUAAUACCGGAUACUCACAUCGAGGUACAUGCCUUGGUGUGGAAAGUUUUUCGGAAAGGGAUGGAGUCGCGGCCUAUCAGCUUGUUGGUUAGGUAACGGCUCACCAAGGCGACGACGGGUAGCCGGCCUGAGAGGGCGACCGGCCACACUGGGACUGAGACACGGCCCAGACUCCUACGGGAGGCAGCAGUGGGGAAUAUUGCACAAUGGGCGCAAGCCUGAUGCAGCGACGCCGCGUGAGGGAUGAAGGUCUUCGGAUUGUAAACCUCUUUCAGUAGGGACGAAGCGAAAGUGGCGGUACCUAAAGAAGAAGCACCGGCUAACUACGUGCCAGCCGCCGCGGUAA